UACGAAGGGAGCUAGCGUUGUUCGGAAUCACUGGGCGUAAAGCGCACGUAGGCGGAUGUGUCAGUCAGGGGUGAAAUCCCGGAGCUCAACUUCGGAACUGCCUUUGAUACAGCACAUCUGGAGUCCGGAAGAGGUGGGUGGAAUUCCUAGUGCAGAGGUGAAAUUCGUAGAUAUUCGCAAGAACACCAGCGGCGAAGGCGGCUCACUGGCCCGGUACUGACGCUGAGGUGCGAAAGCGUGGGGAGCAAACAGG
rnacentral:rRNA from 1 species